rnacentral:lncRNA from 1 species
AUGUGAUCUGGGUUCUGAUAUUAUCUCUGCGCUCUGCAGUGUGCCAUGGGCACAUGAGGAAUGUCAGAAGUCAUAACCAUGCCUGAUGACAACAGUUUCCUUUGGCCUGGUGUGGUAUUGUAAAUUGUCGCUUUUAGACCAACUUUUUAGUGAUAGACCCUCUCUAUGCUUUUUGUUGUAAGCUACUGCAGAUUCUUGCCACAGGUAUGAAGUAAAUUCUGUUAAUAGCCUUGAUUUUUCACCUGUGCCACCAUAUAUAUCUUUGCCAUGGCCUCAUGAUGGAUGGAAUAUACUUCCCUGCCCCUUGACUUGAUACUUGACCAUGUAACUUUUUUGGAACAAUGAAAGAUGAUGGAAAUGUCAGUAUACCUGUGCUCAGGUAUACUGUGCUAGGUCUUAAGAAGCCUCCAGUGUUUCCAGCUAUACAUCUGCAAUCACCAUGAGAAGGACCUGCUCAAGCAAACCACUAGUCACAGGAGGAGAAUGAGAGACACAUGGAGCAGAGCUGCCCUCAGAGUCCACCUAGAUUAGUUGUCAGCAGACCUCCAGUGGACUUGUAGAAACACAAGCAAUAAUAAAAGGCUGUUGUUUUAA